GGGCUACUGCACGUCUCAAGAUUAAGCCAUGCAUGUCUAAGCAGAAGCCGCACAACGGUAAAGCCGCGAAUGGCUCAUUACAACAGCCGUCGUUUCUUGGAUCUCUAAUUUUACUUGGAUAACUGUGGUAAUUCUAGAGCUAAUACACGCACUAAAGCUCUGACCUUACGGGACGAGCGCAUUUAUUAGAACAAAACCAAUCGGGUUUCGGCCCGUCCGUUGGUGACUCUGAAUAACUCUGCCGAUCGCACGGUCUCGAACCGGCGACGUAUCUUUCAAGUGUCUGCCUUAUCAACUGUCGAUGGUAGUUUAUGUGCCUACCAUGGUUGUAACGGGUAACGGAGAAUAAGGGUUCGACUCCGGAGAGGGAGCCUGAGAAACGGCUACCACAUCCAAGGAAGGCAGCAGGCGCGCAAAUUACCCACUCUCGGCACGAGGAGGUAGUGACGAAAAAUAACGAGACGGAUCUCUUUGAGGCCCGUUAUCGGAAUGAGAACAAUUCAAAUCCUUUAACGAGGAUCUAGCGGAGGGCAAGUCUGGUGCCAGCAGCCGCGGUAAUUCCAGCUCCGCAGGUGUAUAUCUAUGCUGCUGCGGUUAAAAAGCUCGUAGUUGGAUCUGCGUGCUCGGAACCGGUUGACUCACUGAGUUCUUACUGGUCUCCGGCGCUUUAUUUGCUGGUUUUCCCUUGAUGCUCUUAAUCGGGUGUCUUGGGUGGCUAGCGUGUUUACUUUGAAAAAAUUAGAGUGCUCAAUACAGGCGCAAAGCCUUGAAUAGUGGUGCAUGGAAUAAUAGAAUAGGACCUCGGCUCUAUUUUGUUGGUUUUCGGAACGCGAGGUAAUGAUUAAGAGGGACAGACGGGGGCAUUCGUAUUGCGACGUUAGAGGUGAAAUUCUUGGAUCGUCGCAAGACGGACGACUGCGAAAGCAUUUGCCAAGAAUGUUUUCAUUAAUCAAGAACGAAAGUUAGAGGUUCGAAGGCGAUCAGAUACCGCCCUAGUUCUAACCGUAAACGAUGCCACUAGCGAUCCGCAGCGUUAAACACGACAUGCGGCAGCUUCCCGGAAACGAAGUGUCUGUCUGGGGAGUAUGGUGCAAGCUGAACUAAGAUGACGGAAGGCACACAGGAGUGGAGCCUGCGCUAAUUGA
rnacentral:rRNA from 1 species